AUGGGAAUGAUGGCAGUAAGAGGGGAGUCCACUUUCAGCAACUGGCUCUACAGGGGGAGACUGACAUCAUUUUCCCAAUGGCUAUGUUCAAAACCACCUAAAGGGUUUGAGAAAUUCUUUGAGAGGAAUGGAAGAAACACAGAAUCAGAAAAACCAGCAGCUCCAAGAGAAGAAACUGGUAAACCAAAGAAUGCUGGGUCUGGAGGAGGUGGCGGCAAGAGAGGAGGAAAAGGGGGUGAUUUUGCCUGGUGGAAACAGAUACAGAAGGGAGAGUUUCCCUGGGACGACAAGGAUUUCCGAAAUCUGGCCAUUUUGGGGCAAGCGUUGCCACGGGAAUUUUCUAGUUCUAUUUUCGAGAUCCUGGUAGAGAUCACCUGGAAGCAUUUUGUGCAGUAUUACCUGGCCAGAGGCCUGGUGGACCGGCUGGAGGUCGUGAACAAACAGUUUGUGCGGGUUAUUCCUGCCCCGGGGACCUCUUCUGAGAAGUUCGUGUGGUUCAACAUCGGCAGUGUCGAUACCUUUGAGCGGAACCUGGAGUCUGCACAGUGGGAGCUGGGCAUUGAGCCAUCCAACCAGGCCACAGUGGUCUACACCACGGAGAGUGAUGGCUCUUUCCUGUGAAGUCUGGUACCCACCCUUCUCCUGGUUGGCAUCCUCUAUGCCGCGAGGAGGGGCCCUAUGGGGGCCGGGCCCAGUGGGUGAGGAGGAGGCCUCUUUAGUGUUGGUGCAGCGACAGCCAAGAUCCUGAAGAGCAACGUCCCCGUGAGGUUGGCAGACGUAGCUGGCUGCAAAGAGGCCAAGCUGGAAAUUAUGGAGUUUGUGAAUUCCGAAGAACCCCAAGCAGUAUCAGGACUCAGGAGCCAAAAUCCCAAAGGGAGCCAUGCUCACUUGUCACCCUGGUACCGGCAAGACGCUUCUCGCCAGAGCCAUGGCUGGGGAGGCCAGCGUGCCCUUCAUUACCGUGAACGGGUCGGAGUUCCUAGAGAGGUUUGUUGGUGUUGGGCCAGCAAGGGUACGUGACACGUUUGUAAUGGCCAGGAAAAAUGCACCUUGUAUCUUAUUCAUUGAUGAGAUUGAUGCCAUUGGCCGGAGCGAGGCCGUGGACACCUUGGGGGGGGGGGGGGGGCAGAGUGAGCAGGAGGACACUCUGAACCAGAACCUCGUGGAGAUGGAUGGAUUCAACGCUACCACCAAUGUGGUGGUGCUGGCCGGCACCAACCGCCCUGACAUUCUCGACCCAGUCCUGAUGCGCCCUGGCCGCUUUGACCGCCAGAUUUCUAUUGCUCCCCCUGACAUCAGAGGCAGAUCAUCUAUCUUCAAGGUCCACCUGCGCCCACUCAAGCUGUCUGAAAACCUCAGUAAGGACGCCCUGGCACGGAAGCUGGCAGCCCUCACUCCAGGCUUCACUGGUGCUGACAUUUCCAACGUGUGCAAUGAAGCCACUCUGAUCACAGCCCGCCACCUGAGGCCUUCUGUUCAGGAGAAGCACUUCGAGCAAGCCAUCGAGAGGGUCACCAGAGGCCUUGAGAAGAAGACCCAGGUCUUGCAGCCCAGUGAAAAGCCGACUGUGGCCUACCAUGAAGCUGGACAUGCGGUGGUGGGCUGGUUCCUGGAGCACGCAGACCUCCUGCUGAAGGUGUCCAUCAUCCCCCGGGGCAAGGGCCUCGGCUAUGCGCAGUACCUGCCCCGGGAACAGUACCCAUACACGAGGGAGCAGCUCUUUGACCGCAUGUGCAUGAUGCUGGGCGGCAGGUGGCUGAGCAGCUGUUCUUCGGGCGGAUCACCACGGGGACGCAGGACCACCUAAGGAGAGUCACACAGAGCGCCUGUGCACAGAUCGUGCAGUUUGGAAUGAGUGAGAGGCUGGGCCAGGUGUCCUUUGACCUCCCACAGCGAGGCGAGGCCCUGGUGGAGAAGCCCUACCGUGAGGCCGCGGCCCAGCUCACUGAUGAGGAGGUUCGGAGCCUCAUCAGCUCUGCCUGCGAUCGCACUCUCGAACUGCUGACUCAUGCCGGGAGCAGGUAGAAAAGGUGGGCCAGCGGCUUCUCAAGAAGGAGGUACUUGUUUGUAAGUAG